rnacentral:lncRNA from 1 species
UUUUUUUUUUUUUUUCAGUUUUUGACAUACUACUUAUAUUUUGCUGUUUGGAAAACUAAAUAUAUUAUUCCUAGUUUCAUAUCAAGUACUUCUGACAAAUUGCCAUUGGAGAUUUGAGUCCGGCAAUUUUUAGUCAAAUACUUUGGUUUUACUUACCAAUUCAAGUGAGAUGGAUAAAUUUCAUAUUUACUAUAUUUCUUGUUGAUUUCUCUAUGUUGAACUUUAGUUUAGAAACUAUAUCAUCUUUGUAAGCACCAAACUACAAAAUCAAAUAGUAAUCCUUUAUGUUUUUCGUAUCUCUUUGCUAAAGAUCAAUGCACUUACUUAUUUUACAUGUAAAAGUUUAAUUGCCAAAACUUGCAUAAAAUAUGUAUGGCUAGAUUUGAAAAAAGUUCUUGUAGACGAAGAAAAUUUAUUUAAUUUAUUUAAUUUAUUUAGUCAGGAUUUAUUUAAAUUAAAUCGAUCUUGAUUAAAUUAAAUUAAAUUAUAGAAGUCCAUUAUGUUUUGGACUGGCAAAUUGGGUCAAUAUUAUAUGAGCUAUUAAAUCAAAUUAAAUUCAUAAUGUCCAUUUAAGUUAGAGUGAAUUGAUUGCUUUAUUAAUUCACCAUGGACCAUUUGGGUUGGCCCACUAUUUAAACCCAAAUUAAAUGGAUUUCUUUACCCAAAAUGCAGGAAGAUUUCUGGAGGGUUUUCUUGAAGACUUAGCAUACAUAUUUUGGCUAUAAAUAGAGGUCUUCUCUCAAGGCAAAGAUAGACGAGAAAAUUUCAUAACUUUCGAAGAAACUCUGUCAAAUUUUCCCAAAGAGCUUUCUUCCUCCAAUUCAAGUCCAAAUCAAGUCAAACAAAUCCUCCUGCUAUCGGUGUUGAAAACUUAAAGUUCCAAGUGUUUGACGCCAUCAUCAAAUCAAUCGUUUUUUACGUCGAAAUUGUAGAAAACACCCUUUCGAUUGGAGAACAAGUCUUUUCGACCCUUCAAUUGAAGCUAUUCGAAGAAAAGAAUCAGGGGAUUGAUUUCUUUGAUUCAAGAACUUUCAGAGAUUGUAACCCGCUUAUUAUUUGAUUUAAUCAAUUUGAUAUUUGUGCAAGUUUUCUUGUCUUUUAUUUUAGGCAACAAAAUUUGUACUUACAAAUUUCUGGCACGCCCAGUGGGACUAUCUCUGCCUCUCAUCUCUUUUCUUUCAACAACUUAUCAGUUUCAAAAUUCAAUGGAGUUCAAGAAGGUGAACUUUUCUCUUGAAGGCUUAGUUGCUGAUGUCUCAACCACUCAAGAGACGCAGUAAACUGCACCUCUGACAAGGAGUAAGGCCAAGAAAUUAGCAGAGAAGCCAAGGCGAACAUUGUGAUUGAAGAAGCAAACCUCAAGAUGCUUCCCAAUAAGAAAGGAGCCCAUGAUGAAUCUAUUGAUAGCCCAAGUGAUUCGGCUGCCUCUGUGGUGAUGCCCGUCAUGAUGACCAAUAUCGCAACUGUGGAAGAUCAGAUUUCAAAUUUAGCCAAAAUUGUCGAAGGGCUAGUAGUUUGUCAAGAUGCCAAGAUAGUCAAAUUAAUGGCUAUCGUGGAAAAUAUAGGCGAAAAUAGCCUUAGUAUGUCUAAACAGAAAUCCAAAGUGCAAGAUGAAAGUGACUCAUCAUCAAGGGAGAAGGAGAAAGAGGAUGCGAAGUCACAAGCCACGAAAGAAUUUUCAAUCUCCCCUGAUGGCACUAUUCAUGUUGAUAAUCUGAAGAAAUUUAUCGAAGGCACCAUCAAAGACAAGAUUGGUGGAAGUGCCAAGUCAUAUAGCGGUUACACCAAACCUUAUACCGCUAGAGUGGAAAGUUUGAAGAUGCUCAUGGGAUAUCAAUCUCCAAAAUUUCAACAAUUUGAUGGCAAUAGCAACCCUAAGCAGCAUAUUGCACAUUUCGUGGAAACCUGUAACAAUGCUGGCACUGAUGGUGACUUACUCGUUAAGUAGUUUAUUCGCUCGCUGAAGAGUAAUGCCUUUGAUUGGUACACAGAUCUGGAGUCUGGAACCAUUGACAGUUGGGAGCAGCUAGAACAUGAAUUUCUUAGUCGCUUCUAUAGCACAAAGAGAACUGUCAGCAUGACUGAACUCUCUAAUACACGUCAAUGGAAGAAUGAACCUGUCAUUGAUUUCAUCGACCGUUGGAGGAAUCUAAGCUUAAAUUGUAAAGAUCGAAUUUCUGAAUCUUCUGCGAUCGAGAUGUGUAUUCAAGGUAUCCAUUGGGGACUCAGAUACAUCUUACAAGGUGUACAACCAGAAACGUUUGAUGAAUUGUCCACAAAAGCCCACAAGUUGGAAAUUAAUCUUGAUGAACAAGAACCGUCAGUUCCUGACCCUCACAAGGUCAAAGAGAGAUAAGAAGCGAGGAAAGGGGGCAAGCCACCAUUCAAAAAUGAAAAGAAGGAGGCUAUGGCUACAAGUAUAACACCUUUUAAGGUCGUUCCCAAAACUGUCAGGAGAGAAGAUAGGAAGAUCAAUGCACAUCAAGAACAAGGAAAGAGGAAACCGAUUCUCAAAGAGUAUCAUUUCCUUGAUUCUGAUGUCCCUGGUAUGUUUGACGAUCUGUUAAGUAUAAACUUGAUCACGCUUCCUGAGAUGAAGCGACCCGAUGAGGCCAGGAACACUGACGAUCCAAAUUACUUUAAGUAUCACCGAUUGGUUGGGCAUCCCAUUCAAAAAUGCUUUGUCUUCAAAGACAAAGUAAUGAAGUUGGCGAGACAAGGAAAAAUUCUCCUUGAAGAAGACAAGGCAAGUGUGAAUCAAAUGUCCAUUGAUUCUCUGCAGUCUAUGGAGAUUAAAAGGGUCAUGGUCGGUAUUGCCAAUAAUUCAAUUUGGUUCGUUCGAUCCCAUAGAAAUCGAACAAGAAGGUACUCUUUCAACUCUUCAGGAACAUGUCUAUGAAGAUGAGAAGGCAUUACAGCCCGAUGUGGAUGAUGAAGGGUGGACUUUAGUCACGCGAAGAAGGAGGCGAUAAUCUAGUAAGGUGAACAAGGCCUUAACAAGAAGUCUGGUCAUCUGGAAGGGGAAAGAGAAGAAUGUAAAGAGAAACAAUGAUUGUCGCAACCUUCAAGGAAGUCGAAGCUGCAAGCAAAAGUUACGAACUCCUAUCACUCUUAAAAGUGUUCAUACCAAAAGAAUUCUUUGAUGUUGAUGUGGUCGAGAGUCACACAACCUGAGUAGAUCAUGUCAAAAAAUAAAAAGAUAAUACUUGCGAAUCUCUCUGUAAGAUAGCCUGUGUGCCUACCAGCAAUGAAAGAGGUCAUGUGCCCGCUGGCAAUGAAGAAGUGAAUGUCACAAGUAUCACUUUCACUAGUGAAGACUUGUUGCUUGGGUCAACACCGCAUAACCGCCCUUUGUUUGUGACCGGCUAUGCAAAUGAACAAAAAGUGAAUAGAAUUUUGAUAGAUGGAGGUUCUGCAGUCAAUAUUCUUCCCUUCAAGACUCUGAAGGAGCUCGGCAUCCCGGUUGAUGAACUCUUCAACAGCCGAUUGAUGAUUCAAGGUUUUAAUCAAGGAGGGCAAAGAGCUCUUGGAUCACUAAAUUUGGAGAUAGUCAUUGAUGACAUGUCAUCCAGAGCCCUGUUGUAUGUGAUAGAUGCUAAAACAACAUACAAUGUACUACUGGGAAGGCUCUGGAUUCAUGAAAAUGGAGUUGUACCAUCAACUCUUCAUCAAUGUUUCAAGUACUGUCAAAAUGGGGUAGCAAGAAGUGUGAAAGCCGAUGACAAUCUUUUCAUUGAGGCGGAAGCGUAUAUCGCUGAUGCCAAAUUUUACAUCAAAAGGCACAAUGCGAAGGAUAAGUCUGAGCAACCUCUAUCUGUGGAUAAAAUCCAGAACCCCAAAUCUCCGAGUGUAAAAGGGAAAAAACUGAUAAAUUCGAAGUCAAAAGAGGAAGUUCAUGAAGAAACUGAUGUUUCAUUGCCAAACAAUGAAUCAGUUGUCUUUCGUUACCCUUCCAAGUCAAGAAUGAAACAGGAACAGUCACCUGUAAUUCAGCAUAACGCUCUAAGAGAUUUGACUUUUCCGGUAGUUCAUCUUGAUACAAAGAAGGCUUCGUUUCCUCCAUUUAAAAGGUUUAACCUUUUAAACAAAGAAUCUGAAGCCGAACAAGACAUCAUACCAAAGUCAAGAACCAAAGACGAUUUUGAUCCCAUUGCUUAUAAACUUCUCGCUAAGGCUGGAUAUGAUCUCAAAGAAUCUGCUAUGUUAAAUGUUCCAUCUCGUCAAUCUACUAGUGACAUGAUGCAUGGGUUGAAUCCUACCCAAAAAAUGUUGAAGGAAAAAGGAUAUGCCACUGAAAAUUCCAAAUUUGGUCUUGGCUAUUCCUCUCCUACACCAAUCCGCAUCAAGAUCAAUAGAGCUAGUAGUCAAUAUAUUACUGUGGAGGAUGAGUCUUCUCAAAUAGCUGGUAAAUUUCAAACUUUUCACGGAAAGGAGAAUAAAGAUCCACGGGUAUCUGUUUUUAAGAGAUUAGGACCGCAAAGAAAAUAAAAGCCUCAAAACUCUCAUAGGAGUAAAGAAAAAAUGGCAAAAUCAUUGCAAAAUCUUGAAGAAUCUUCUGAUUGUCCUCAUAAAUUUGGUAGCAUCAUUUUCUCGAGAAUGAGAAGAUGCACAGACCUUAUAAUAAAGUGUGGGACUGAAUUAAGGGUCAGGGAGCAUACUGUGGUGUACACAAGACCAAAAGAGAAUGAUGAGGAGAGUGUUGCUUCAUGCAAUCAUAUAACCCUAAUUGGCGGUGACUCUCCUGAAGAAGAAGAAGAUGCUGAAGACGCUCCACCUGAAUUGGAAGAAGGUGUUAAGGCUACUGUGAAAGAUCUAAAGGAAAUCAAUCUUAGUACUUUAGAGGACCUGCGUCCAAUAUACGUAAGUGCUUUAUUGAGCCCCGACAAAGAGAAGGCAUAUAUUGAACUUUUGCGGGAGUAUCAAGAUAUUUUUGCAUGGAUUUAUAAAGAAAUGCCGGGUUUAGACCCAAAAAUGGCCGUCCACCAUUUGGCUGUUAAAAAGGGAGUUCGACCUGUGAAACAGGCACAACGGAGGUUUAGACCCGAUUUGAUUCCGUUGAUCGAAAUUGAAGUCAAUAAACUUAUUGAACCCGGGUUUAUUCGUGAAGUUAAAUAUCCCACAUGGAUUUCGAGUAUCGUGCCUGUGCAAAAGAAGAAUGGACAAAUCCGCAUCUGCGUCGACUUCAGGGAUCUUAACAAUGCUUGUCCCAAGGAUGACUUUCCUUUAUCGAUUACUGAACUCAUGAUUGAUGCAACUACUGGACAUGAAAUUCUGUCAUUUAUGGAUGGCUCUUCAGGAUAUAAUCAAAUUCGACUGGCACCUGAGGAUGAGGAACUCACUGCAUUUCGUACUCCUAAGGGUAUUGAUUGUUAUAAAGUAAUGCCCUUUGGUCUAAAAAAUGUUGGAGCCACAUAUCAAAGAGCAAUGCAAAACAUCUUUGACGACAUGCUUCAUAAAAAUAUCGAGUGUUAUGUGGAUGAUUUAGUCGUUAAAUCAAAGAAAAGAAGUAAUCACUUGGAGGGCUUGAGACAAGUUUUUGAUCGAUUGAGAAGGUAUCAACUCAAAAUGAACUCUCUCAAGUGUGCAUUUGGAGUCACGUCCGGAAAAUUUCUUGGUUUUGUGGUUCGCCAUCGAGGUAUUGAAAUUGAUCAGGCCAAAAUUGAUGCUAUAUUGAGAAUGCCUGAAUCUCGUAACAUUCAUGAAUUGAAAAGUCUUCAAGGGCGAUUAGCUUAUCUGCGAAAAUUUAUCUCAAAUUUGGCAGGAAGGUGUCAACCAUUUAGUCGCUUGAUGAAGAAAUAUGUGCCAUUUCAAUGGGAUGAGACAUGUAGUAAUGCAUUCAAUAGCAUUAAGUUUUAUCUUAUGAAAGCACCUGUUCUGGCUGCACCUAUUCAUGGAAAGCCAUUACUUCUUUACAUUGCUGCUCAGGAACGCUCAGUGGAGGCAUUGCUUGCACAAGAAAAUAAUGAAGGAAAAGAGGUUGCCCUUUAUUAUUUAAGCAGAAUGUGACCCCUAAUGAACUAAAUUACUCGCCGAUUGAAAAGUUGUGUUUAGCUCUUAUUUUUGCAAUACAGAAGUUAAAACACUAUUUUCAAGCACAUAGUGUGAGGCUCAUUUCUAGGGCGAAUCCCAUGAAAUAUGUGAUGAGCAGGCCAGUAUUAUCCGACCAUUUAGCUAGAUGGUAUCUCCAUCUACAACAGUUUGAGAUUAUUUAUAUGCCUCAAAAAGCUGUGAAAGGACAAGUUCUGGCGGAUUUUCUUGCUGAUCACCCUAUACCUGCUGAAUAGGAGUUAAGUGAUGACCUACCAGAUGAGGAUGUACUCCUUAUUAAGAUUCGCCCACCAUGAAAAAUGUAUUUUUAUGAUGCUGCACAUCGUCAUAGGGGUGGAGCGGGGAUUGUAUUCAUGACUCCUGAUGGAGGGAUAUUGUUAUACUCUUUUACCCUAAAUCAACAUUGUUCAAACAAUGUCGCUGAGUACCAAGCUCUCAUACUCAAACUUGAAAUAGCUGUUGACAUGGAGCAGUUGGAACUUCAAAUCUAUGGUGGCUCUCAAUUGGUGGUUAACCAACUCUUGGAAAGUUAUGAAGUCAAAAAGUUCGAAUUAAUUCCGUAUCACAAAUAUGCAACACGACUUAUGAAGCGGCUUGGAGGUGCAAGUAUUAAACAUGUUCCUAGAAGGGAAAAUAAGCAAGCUGAUGCAUUAGCUGUGCUAGCCUCUUCACUUGCCAUGCCGGAUCAUGAGAUACAAGUUCAUGUAUGCCAAAAGUGGGUAGUUCCAUCACUAAUUGAUAAUGAAAAUAUUGAAGGAGGCGACGCUCAUGUGGUCUCAACCUGUUAAAUUGACAAAGAAAAUUGGAGACAACCUCUCGUUCAUUAUCUCAAGUAUCAAAAAUUACCUGAGUAGCAACGUAGGAGAACUAACAUCCGUCGUCGUGCCUCUUGUUUUAUCUUGUACAAGGAUACGCUGUACCGAAGAUCAUUUGAAGGUGUACUGUUGCACUGUCUAAGCGAAGACGAGACAUAUCGGGCGAUGCACGAGGCACAUUCUGGAAUAUAUGGAGCUCACCAAUCCGGUCCCAAGUUACAUUUUCGGAUUAAAAGGAUGGGCUACUAUUGGCCUACUAUGGUCAAAGAUUGCAUAGAAUAUGCUCAAAGAUGUCAAAUUUGCCAGUUUCAUGCAAAUUACAUUCAUCAACCACCUGAGCCGUUACACCCGACCGUUGCCUCUUGGCCUUUUGAUGCUUGGGGCCUUGAUGUUAUGGAGCCAUUACCAAAGUCGUCUGGUCAACACUUAUAUAUAUUGGUUACGACCGACUACUUUUCUAAGUGGACUGAAGCCAUACCGCUCAAGCAAGUUAGAAAAGAAGAUGUGAAUUUUAUUCGUGUGAAUAUUAUUUACCGUUAUGGAGUUCCUCGAUACAUUAUCACUGAUAAUGAAAAAUCCUUCUCCAAUACCUUGAUGGAUAAGUUGUGUGAAAAAUUUAAUCUCAAGCAAUGCAAGUCUUCCAUGUAUAAUGCCCCCGCCAAUGGUUUCGCAGAGGCAUUCAACAAAACUUUGUGUAAUUUGUUGAAGAAAGUGGUGGCCAAAUCAAAAAAAGAUUGGCACAAAAGAAUAGGCGAAACUCUUUGGGCCUAUUGUACCACAUACCGAACUCCAACGCAAGCCACACCAUAUGCCUUAGUCUAUGGUGUAGAAGCUGUUCUGCCCCUUGAGAAAUUCCUUCUUUGAGAAUUGCUAUCUAAGAAGAGCUCACGGAGGGAGAAAAUGUUCGCCUGCGCCUUGAAGAAUUGGAAGCUUUAGAUGAAAAGAGAUUAGAGAUCCAACAAAAUCUGGAAUGCUAUCAAGCUCGUCUCUCUAGAGCCUUCAAUAAGAAAGUUCGGCGCCGCUCCUUUCAAGUUGGGGACAUGGUACUUGCCGUUCGAAGGCUAAUAGUUAUGACUCAUCACACUAAGGACAAAUUUGUCUCUAAAUGGGAUGGGCCAUAUAUUGUUCGAGAAGUCUAUACAAAUGGCGCGUAUAAACUGGUGGACAAAGAUGGUGUAAAAGUUGAUCCUAUAAAUGAAAAAUUCAUGAAGUUAUACAUGCCAUAAAAAAAAUGAAGCACUCCAUGACGCAUGAGUCUAAACUGCAUGUUGCUCCAGACCAGCAUGAGCUAAAACUGUGGACAACAACCACCAAUAGUGUAGCACGUGGUUAAACUGCUGAAACACUCCACCAAAUCUAAGGUGGUAAACAAAAGGAUACUCCUGACCCGCAAGAGUUUAAACUGUGAACGGUAGGAAUUACGUGUGACUUGAUUCCCUUUUGGGAUACGUAGGCAGUUUAGAAGGUAUCUUCUAAAUUCAGUUACAACCCUAUAAAACUAAAGUCUUUGUCUGGAUGAUUCUUUUGAUAAAAAAAAAGAGAACGUUCAUCUUUAGGACAGUUCGAAUUAUUUUGUGACAUAUACUUGAAAGUGUAUUAUUCAGAUUACCAAAUUAUUUGGAUAAUUACCUUUUCAGGUGUGAUCAAAAUUAUGCAAAGGUGAAAUUAUUCAUACUAUGGUUGAUAGCCUAAAAUGGUGGCUAUCGAAAGAGUAAGUAAGGACGAGGGCGUCUGCAAGAAUGUGAUGAAAAGAAAAAAAAUCAAGUUUCAUUAUGAAGUGCUUGUACUCAUAGCUACACGCUUUGAGCAAUUAACAAAAGAUGAAAUUUGAAACAAAGUAAAAGAUUGCAACUAUUCCUAAAAUUCAAAUGAUGACAGCUUGUUUUCAAAUAAUACUUGCAUCUUGUCCAAAGUUUGACUCUUCUCAGCAAGUAGGGGAGGGGAAUUCUCAAUUUUUCGAAUUUCAUUUUAUAAGUCGACCAUCACGCCUUGCACCCGGGUAAGUUCAUCUUGCUCUUCUCGUAGUAGUGAAAGCGUCUCCUCCUGUGAGUAUCCAAGCACUCAAGUCGCUUCUUCAACAUUACUUCCUCACGAUCAAUCUCCUUAAGUUUCAACAUGUGCAUUGAGAUCUUUUUCGCUUGUUGUUUCUCCUUACUCUGAGCAUCUUUAAGAUGUCGAAUGGCCGUAGAAAGUAACUCAUCAUAUGAUUCAGUUGAAAUUUUAUUUGAGAGAGAAGAUUUCACUGUCACGUAACGAGCUGCAUUUGCAAAGAAAGUCUUUAAAAGGCCUUGCAAAUUUGAGAUAUCCGUGGCAUUAAAGCUUUGCAUUUCCUCCAUGAUCUCAUUGGCUUUCAUUUCAAGAGCAGGCAUGCGCUCUAAGGCUGUUUGAGAUAUCAUCAUCCUCAAGUUAUUCCACAACAUUUGGAUAUAGUCUCGGCGACAUGUUGAAAUCACACUUUGGGGGCAAAAUUCAGACACUUCAGGUGCCCUUAGCCACGAUGGUGGAUCGAAAACAGUUUUCUUUUGGCCGAUGGAGUCAUAUGCUCCGCCUUCUGUGCCAUGAUUUGCUGAGUCACAUUUUCAUCCUCUACUGUCUUUUUGGAAUUCUCACUAGCACCUUUUUGUUGAGUAGAACUGAUCACUUGUUUGGCCAAAAGUUCAAAUGCAGUAGGUCCUUCAACUGAUACUUGACUUGGUUCUCCAUCAUCAAUGAAGAUCAAGUCUUGAUCGUCCAACUGUAGGGAAAAUGUUGUGAGACAAAUCAUGAAUAUGAAAUUAACAAAAAAAUUUCAAAUGCUAGAUUAAAGAAGGCAGGGAGGGUCCUUACAAUAUUGGCACGGCUUAUACCAGGCACAGAUAUAUUCGGAAUGUCUUUAAAGAGUUCUUUAGGAUCUAAACCAAUAUCAUCCAAGGGGAGAGUCAUUACCUUGGACUUCUUGCGUUUUCAAUGCUGAUCCGUGCUGGUGGAUUGCUCAUCCUCCUCAUUAGAAGGCUCGCUCCACUUCUUCUCAUGUGAACUGCAAGAAUUAUGAUCAAUAGCCUUCACAAUGUUUGAAAGAAGAUAAAAUGAAGUACCCUUCGAAAAUUCUUCAUUAGGAGUAAGGUUCUCAGGGAUAGUAGCCUUGUUGUUUGAACUCUUCAAAAUUUCUUUCUCACUUCUCAUAGUCUUUUGCUUCAUCUCAAGACUAUUGCCAACCUUGGAAGGAUUGUUUAGGUUUGCAAGUUCCUUCCCUUUCGACUUCUUCUGCUCCCCAUUUGAUUGGACACUCUUAAUCAAAGUAUCACACCCUUUGAGGAGAUGAUCAUCAUGCACCAUAGCCCACCAUGUUUGAAAGCCUGAAGAUGUGUGUUUGCUAACAUUCAAGGGAUAGCUAAGGAAAAGUACCUUUGACUCUGUUUUACUGCGAAUGGCAGUGCGCCAGAGUAUUCGACUCAAGUCAUAACUUGUGAAACGAACAUCUGCCUUGAGUUCCUGUGGAGGAACUUGAUAAAAACCGAAUUUCUGCGCAAAUCUAUAUGGACUAUAUGGCUCAAUAAGGAAAUCCCCUUCAGCAUGCAAAACUAAGUAAUUUGAGCAGGCGCUUACAAAAUAAUUUAGUUCGAGAUUUGCUAAUUUGUCAUUGUCAAUGAAAAGCUCAUUGCGAUUUUUCACAAGAGAAGUGAUUCCCCAAGUUGCUUUGUCUCCCUGAUGAAUGAGGUCACGAGCACUAUUUUCAUCAAAAUACCGUGCGCCACCUUCUCCAGAAUAGUUGGUCAUGGUGGGUCCAGGCAUGGCAUUUGGAGUCGAAUAAUGGGUAGAGAAAUAAUUCGCUAACCAAGCAUGUACAUAGUGCACCGGAAAAGCAGCACGUGCACACCCUGGAGUAGGUGAGUUUGAAAUAUUGUUAAGCCCACGGUAUAUGUUUAGCAGGACAGGAACAGCAAGGCAGGUCUUACGACCGGCAGCCAUCGUACUAGCCAUUUUGAAAGUAGAUGGUCUAAUAUGAUGGAGCUCCUCAUCUGGUAAAGCAAAGACACAGAGCCAACAAGAUAUAAAUGUUGCAAGAUAGGUCUCUUCCCGCAAGUGGAGUUUAACUCCGAUGGUGUCAAAUACGCCAUUGUCUUGACUUGAAAAUUUGCGUGGUUGUCCAAUUUCGCCAUCCGGAUUUUGGGUCGUUUGAGCACGAGAUGCCCUCUUUAUCCUUCUCUGCUUUGGCUUUGAAUACCUGAUUUUGCCUUUAAACCAGAACUUAAUCCAUUGGGCAGUAGAAACUCCAACUUUGUUGGAUUCCUCAUGUUGAAGAUGAUGUAAGGCUGCGAACAAAUAUUCGCAACUUUGUGGAAUAUGCCUUAAUUUCUUCUCAUUUACUCCAGUUAGCUCCUCCGCGCAUGGGAUUAUCUCUUCAUAGAUACCUCCGAUGAUUGGAAGUCCUCCUAACUUGUGCAGGUCCCAAAGUGAGAGAGACAAUUCCCCGACAGAUGUAUGCAAGGUAUUAGUGUCCGAGCACCACGUCUCGCAGAAUGCUCUAAGUACAUGGGGAUUCCUAUCAUAUGUGAAAAGUGAAGCAUAUAAGGCGUCAAACAAGUAAUUUGCACGGAGCACUUGUUUGCUCCUGCCGAGAAUAUCCUCCAACCACUCCCAGUAAUUCUCGAUGUAACUGAAUGCACCAUUAAGUCUCAAGGAAGGACCCCAGUGUGCACCUCCGUCUAUGAUCCGCCUGCCAAGGGUUUGAAAAGGAGUUGUCCUUGGCUCCUUAUCAUGAAUAAGGGAUUUUAAGGAGUGAACCUUUGUGCCAUCAUCUUGAGAAAGCUCGAGUGACCAAUCCUUCAACUCUGGGUACUGGUGAGAAGGCCACUUACCCGAGUAAGAUCCUUGUAUAGGGGUAUGCACCAAUAAUUUCGUUCUUUUGUCAUCAGAGUCGUCAUGACUAUUGGCGAUAAGGAGGUACCUUUCGUUUGAAGUGGUAACUUCCUUGAAUAUUGCCAUUUCGUCAAGGCUAACCUGCAUAAAAAAAAGGGGUUACGAUGGUGCGAUCAAAGAUAGUAAGUGAAGUACUAAGUCGUUAGAAUAGGAUAAAUAAAGAGAUUUCUAGGGCGCUGGUAAGCUCUUGUUGAGGUGGACAUUUGCGCCUCCUUUAUAUACUCCUCAAGCCAUAAUAUGGCUCUCGUGGGAGUUUGCGGUUGCGCCUUCUUCAAAUCUUAGUCGCACCUUCUUCACGUACUCCUUAAGCCAUAAUAUGGCUCUCGUGGGAGUUUGCGGUUGCGCCUUCUUCAAAUCUUAGUCGCACCUUCUUCAUGUACUCCUCAAGCCAUAAUAUGGCUCUCGUGGGAGUUUGCGGUUGCACCUUCUUCAAAUUGAGGGUCCACCGUGUGUGUUGUCGCAAAGGAUCCUCUUCUCAUAUCACAAAAAAAUAAAAUAAAAUUGACAUUGACAAGAAAUAAAAGCCAUAAGGUAUGUGAAUUACCUUAGCGUUUUGACCUCCAAGAGCUAUGGUCCUAAAAUUGUGGACACAAUUGGAACGUCAAUUUGCUUCAAACAAGCUAUGCCAACGUCAACUGCAAAAAAAAAAAGAAAAAAAGAAGUGACGUGUGGCAUGCAAUGGCGGGACAAGUUCUUAUGGUGGGCCAUGCUUAUCUUUAAUAUCAAGUACGGCAUUAUUUAGUCACUGUGGUGGGUGAUGUUCCCUUCUUAUCACACGAAGUCAAAAAAAAAAAAAAGGAGGAAGAAAAAUCAUCAACGACAAAUCUUGCCUUGCUUCGCAAGAACAGACAUUCAAGAGAAAGACGUGGCGUGGGGCAUGUGUUGCUCUAACCAAUUAACAUCAGCAAAAUUGCAUGCAAAUAACUUCAAUUGCAAUUUAAAUAAAGAAGCAGUAUGGACCUGGCCGCGAAUCAAGAAGGCCAUGGUAUGCAGCAAUGGAAAGAAAAUGUGUGCACUUUGCAUGCAAGAGAGUAAUUAGAGCUUAAAGUUUCUUGGCCCCGAAUUCAAUUGUUAAUCUAUGCCCAUUAAAUUUCAAAAGAGCAUUUAGAUGUCAACAAUUUGGGGACACUAAUAAAACCCGAGUUCGAAAAUUUCAAUCCUACAAGCAUAGCAAUCAUUGAUUAUUUUAUGAAAGUUUGUCCGCUUAAUUUGAGGCAACAAACUGUCACCUAGUUUCACUGGAAGACAAAAUUUCAGUUUGGUUCAUGGCUCAAUUCGGCGAAUUUCGAUUCGGCAAAGUGACUUAUAGAGACUCAACAUUUAAGCAAGAGUGAAGAUGGGUGAUACCUGAGUAAUGCGAGGCCUACUUGUGGUGAAGGCUAAUAUCUUGGUGCUUGCAACCCGAGUUACUUGGAGUUAUGUGGAAGUCAAGAAUGUUUAUAGCUUGGUGAUUCAAUCUUGAAGGCUUUUGUGAUCACCGUAGGCUUGAUUUAAGGUAAGUUGAUGAUUUCGGAAACCAAGGUUCGAUGCAUGUUUUCGGGCAAGUUCUAGUUGUUUUAAAAAUCGUGCAACUUGGAAAUACGAGUUCGAUAGCUAAUUUAGAAGUUACAUGUUGACUUCAAAGAAUUUAUAAUGGAGCUAGAAAGCUAUUGAAACUCGCGAACCUAAGUUGAUUAAUUGGUUUUGGCAAUUCCAGAUUAAUGAGCAGUGAUUGCGUGGAAAAGGUAAUUGCCUAGGUGUUGGUUUGAGCAAUUACUUUUUCUUAGCAACAUAAAGUUUGGACAUCUAAUGGUUUGCCGCAUCAUGGAAUAUGGAAAUGAUUGAAAGUGGUAUCUUUCUAAUUCUCUUGGAAUCAAUUGCAAGUCAAAAGGGAAGUGGUCUUUUGAUUCCUUAAAGGUUGAAGCCACGGGAAUCAUUAUUCUAUGCCCAAAUCAACUUGAGUACAAAGCCACACCACGAGAAUUUUAGCAACUUGGAUCCAAUUUCCAAACGAAGCAAUGCCAAAGGAAUUCCAAAUUGCUCAGCUUCAAGACGAAAAAAAGAAAAGAGAAAUGAAUGUAACUUGGAUCCAAUUUCCAAACGAAGCAAUGCCAAAGGAAUUCCGAAUUGCUCAGCUUCAAGUCUGCCACAUGUAAUUUUGAGUGCCGAAGUGUGAAGACAUUUCCUAAUCUUUGCACCACGUUUCGGCUCUCUAAAGUGGAAGUUUCAUGAUAAGUAUUGAAUGAGAAAUUUCCACCGAACAAAUUGGUAGCCAUGCUUUGAUUAUUAAAUGUUUAGGCGGUGCAAUGGUCAUAGAAGGACUCCUAAUGCAAAUAAAGCAACAUUGAAGUUGCUUAAAGUGAAAUUAAAUGAACAGCGCCUACUAGAACUUCCAGGUGAAGAAUGUCUAUGGUGCAAAGUCUUCGAGGGACACGGGACCAUUCUUGUCGGAAUAAAAUCGAUUGGAACGUUUGAGCUUUAAUGUUUGGUGUCUUUAAUGUAUUGCAACUUUAAGUUAAUGGUAGUCACUUGGACUAGUCUCCAAUGGAAUUCCAAAGACCAACAGAGCAGCAAUUCGGGCAAUACAAUUGGCUUUGGCAAUUGCCAAGCCAUUGAGUUUCGAGACUAAUUGCAACAAUUGCAUUGUAAUGACAUGGGGAAUAAUCCUAUGCAUCACACUUUGCCGUAGACCACAUGUAAUUCGUGAAUGGUGUAGACUUUUUUUAUGAUCUUCGAUCACAUGUAUUAACCCAGGCUCUUGUUGCUCGCCCACCAAAUCGGCAAAGGAAUUGGCUUCUUGAAAAAAAAAAAAUCAAGUACUUCAAGUCUCAAUUACAUCCUUGACAAGCAAGUCCCAAUUGAGUCUUGAAGUGGGGGCAUUUGUAGACGAAGAAAAUUUAUUUAAUUUAGUCAAGAUUUAUUUAAAUUAAAUCGAUCUUGAUUAAAUUAAAUUAAAUUAUAGAAGUCUAUUAUGUUUUGGACGGGCAAAUUGAGUCAAUAUUAUAUGGGCUAUUAAAUCAAAUUAAAUUCAUAAUGUCCAUUUAAGUUAGAGUGAAUUGAUUGCUUUAUUAAUUCACCAUGGACCAUUUGGGUUGGCCCACUAUUUAAGUCCAAAUUAAAUGGGUUUCUUGAGUUACAAGUUACCCAAAAUGCAGGAAGAUUUCUGGAGGGUUUUCUUGAAGACUUAGCCUACAUAUUUUGGCUAUAAAUAGAGGUAUUCUCUCAAGGCAAAGAUAGUCGAGAAAAAUUCAUAACUUUCGAAGAAACUCUGUCAAAUUUUUCCAAAGAGCUUUCUUCCCCCAAUUCAAGUCCAAAUCAAGUCAAACAAAUCCUCCUGCUAUCGGUGUUGAAGACUUAAAGUUCCAAGUGUUUGACGCCAUCAUCAAAUCAAUUGUUUUCUACGCUGAAAUUGUAGGAAACACCCUUUCGAUUGGAGAACAAGUCUUUUCGGCCCUUCAAUUGAAGCUAUUCGAAGAAAAGAAUCAAGGGAUUGAUUUCUUUGAUUCAAGAACUUUCAGAGAUUGUAACCCGCUUAUUAUUUGAUUUAAUCAAUUUGAUAUUUGUGCAAGUUUUCUUGUCUUUUAUUUUAGGCAACAAAAUUUGUGCUUACAGUUCUAAACAAGAAUGAACAUGAUGGAAAAGAUAAACUCAAAGGAAAUGAUGCAAUGAGACAAGGUAGAUGCAGAACCUUUUUCUACCAAACUUUCAGGCAACCCUUCCUUUACCUCUCUCCAUGUGUAGCUCAGUUCUUCAGGUUUAUAAGCUUGUUCUAUUUUUUGGGAAACAUCACAAGAUUAAGAUGCCAAAGCUGUACUCUUUAAACCAAAAAUGACUGAGCAUUUCUGUACCUUUUGCAUUCUAAACCCUGCUUGAAUCAAUGCAAUCAACUAUCAAAUUGGUAUUUCACAAACUAAUGACACGUAAGAACAAAUGAGUUUUUGUUCAACUAAACCAAAUUUGGAGUCUAAAUUAAAACAAUUAAUUUGAUAUGAAAAGAGUAAAAUUGUAUUGUGCAAGUUGUAUGUGUUAUACAACAAUAGUUGGUCAUGUAAAUCAGUAGUGAAAAUAAUGAUACUUGUGAAGAGAAGAAGGAAUAUUGUGGUCGAUCUAAGAAGUGGCUGAGCACAAAAAACAAAAAAAUGUAGCUGAGGAUUCUUUUUUAUUCUUUUAAUAACGUAAUUUGUCAGAUUAGACUUAUGACUUUACUUAAUGAUAUAGCAUUAACAUCUCCUUUGUCCCUAAUGUUUUAUCGUAAUUAUCUGAAAUAAAAAGUCUAUAGGAUAGACAACUAGCGAAAGCCAAAAGCUCUUUCUACGUAUAUUCUUCUAGUCCUCGGAUAUGUGAAUGUUAUAUAUAAUCUUGCAAUCACUAGAGCUAGAAAGUUAUUGUAAAUGAAUUCAAGGAGAAAGUAAAGAAAAAGAAGUAAAAACAAGUGUAGUUAAAUCAGGAACUUGGUAAUUAAAUAUUAAUGCCCCAAUGAAAUUUUGCAAGUUUCACUGGAUUAAAACUUUUUAAAAAAAUGUUUUCUCCCCAUUUUGUGUAUAGGACAAUUUUCUAGCUUCCUCUUUUGUACUUUUCCUUCAUUUCCUUCAUUAGAAGAAAUGUUUCCCUCCUAAAUAGAGAAUUAGAGCCAAAGUUAGUCUUACAAUCAUUUAUUUAGUUAUACCAAAUUUCUUUUGAAUUCCCUCCUCCCAAUCUGCUGGAAAAUAGUUUAUUUUUUCCCUCUUAUAAAGAUUAUGUCCCUCCUAAAUUAAUAGAGAGUGUCGCUUAUUGGAGCCAAAGGUCAUAGAAAAAAGCCUCUUAAUAGUCAUAAUCAAAUUGACCAAUUUGAUUACCUCCCAAAUUACCCAUGUCAAUUAGUUUUACUUCCUCUUUUUUUUUUUUUUAUAAAUAUUAAUUCCUUCUUAAAUUAAUUGAGAAUAUUGCUUAUUGGAGCCAAAGUUCAUAAGAAAAAGUCUCUUUUAAGUGUCAAAAUUAAGUUCUUAAUAAGACAGUAGAGCUACUUUUAAGUGUCCAAGUGUGCAAAAUCCAGUCAUGGAAAAGCCCCUAUUAUCCUUCGUUUAUCCAUUUACAUUUCUUGGCAGAUGGAGAUGUUUUGCUCCAUGGUUGUUAGCUUAUGACAUUUGAUAUUUUUGUCUAUACUAUACUAUUAGGCUGCUAUGGAUUAAGGGAUUUGAUGAAAGAUUUAAUUUCACUCAAAUCUUUCUAGUUGUUUAGAUUACUUAGGAGGUAUUUGGAUGUAAAUCAUUAAUUAGUAUAGUAUUUAAAAUGUAUUUAGAUAGUUGAUGAAUUACAAAUCCAAAAUAUCACCUAAACAAUUUAAACAAUUCAAACAAUUUGGAUAGAUUUCAAAUAGUUCAUAAAAUUUCUCAAUCCAAACUAAGCCUCCUAUAAUUUUGUGAAUACUAUGUUGAUAUUUGUUUAUAAGAUACGGACAUAUAAUCCAAUGGAGACUUAUGCAAGAGAAAUAGCAAUGUCAUGAGGUAAGUCCUUUUUUCUUUUGUUGCUGUAAAACAAGUAAUUUAUAUGUGUUUAGCAAUUUUUUUUUGUUCUUUCUACAUAAAAUACCAUAAUCAACUUCCUUCACGGUAUUCAAUUAUAUCUAUGUAUAUUUUUAGUUGGUUUGGUACUCUUAUAUAUAAUUACAUGUUGACAACUUAGGUUCGUGAGUUUUAUGGAUCAAGUUAGUAGCCAAACAAGCCAAAACUCUCGAACUUAAACUCGAACUUAUCCUUUAAAUAUACUAAAAAAAUGUCUUCAAAAUAAAAAUGUUUGUUCGUUCAAAAUCAAAUGUCUGUUCGUUUACAGCCAGAUAUCCGUCACUAAAAAUUUUCUUCACAUAUUUUUAGUUUGUUUCAGUACUGGCUCCAUUUUGCUUUACAAACAUACAAAUCUAGUGUACAGCACUUGGGAUCCUCGGUGACAUGUUUUCUAUGCCAAUCCAAUACCACCUAUAAUAUUGUGCCAAGUGUCCUAUUAUUAUUUACACUUGUGUUAAACCAAAUCAAGUUGAAUUAUUAAAAAAUUAAAGUGUAAAUAAUAACAGGACACUUGACGCAAUACUAUAGGUGACAUUGGAUUGGUAUAGAAAAAUAUGUCACCGAGGAUUGGCAAUAAGUGUACAGACAUAUAUUAAUAUAACUGCAAAAACUUGGAUGGGCCCGGUCUAUGAACGACUUAUGGACCCUGUGGAUUUUAAACAGCCAGUCGCUCUUUGUAACCAAAGUUAAGCAGAGUUCCGUUCUUGUCUGCUUCAACAAAAGGAAUGAAAACGAAAAGGCCGUAAAGAAACCUAGCUUUGGAGAAAUAAACCCAACUAUUCUCCAGAUUUAAAUUUUCUCCUCAUUCAUCAAGUUUCUUCUGGAAAGCAAUAGAAGAGAGUUUAGGCAAAUUAAAUUACAUAAAUUAGAUACUUCUUUGGGCUUUGCUGUGUUUAUGGAGAAGAUCAAUUAGAGGGAGAAAGAAAAAAAUAAAAACUUUGAGAGAUUGUGAAGAAACAAAAUCGUCAAGGGGAAUGCAGAUUGCCAUAUGAGAUACUUCCAAGUGAGUAUCACAAAGAUGUAUACAUAAUUAUUUACACAUCUAAUAUUUCUUAUGACUUUGCUUCCUUUUUUUUUCAUCAAGAGACAAAAUUUAGCCUUUUAGCAUUAGUAAUUGCAAGGCCCCCCACGGAUCUCGUUAAUUUUGCAUCAGAUCUAGUUACAAGAUUAAUAAUUAGUUAUAGUGUAUUUUCUUCUGUUUUGAUUUUGCUUUGAAACACAAGAAAAUUUUAUCCAUUAAAAAGGUUCAACUUAUGUUCUUUUUCUCUUUGAUUUUUCCUUUUUUCAGAUUAUGAUAGUGAGAUGAAGUUGUCAAUCCGGCAUGAUGAAGAUUGAGUAUGCACGGAAAGACUCUUCUGGACAAAUCUUAGAAGACUUUGUUGCAUCAUAAAAUUGUAAAUUUUGAGGAUUUUUUUUGGAAAAAUUAUUCAAAACGUCCCUUAUAUUUUAUAAAAUUAUUUUUUUGUUCCUUAUUUUUAAAAGUGUAAUUUUGGUAUCCCUUACAAAUUCAUAUUGGUUAAAUUUGGUCCCUACCUAAAUCUCUAACUAAUUUUUGAUCGGAAUCCACCAUGUACCUUGCACGUGAUCAUUUUUUAGGGGAUAAAUUGUCAAAUCACAUUUCACAUAAUCUUAUUCAUAGUCUCCCAUAUUUCAUAAAAUAAUUUUUUGUAUUCCUCAUAUUUCACAAAAUGAGUUUUGUCAUACCUCACAUUUCACAAAAUGAAAUUUUCAUCCCUCACUAAUAGCUUUAUUGUAUUUUGAUGCCAUAUUCUCAAUUGCACAUGGUGGAUUAGGCAAAAAAAACUAGUCAAAAAUCUAUUUAAGGACAAAAUUUGACCAAUAUAAAUUUGUAAGAGACAUAAAAUUACACUUUUAAAAGUGAGGAACGAAAAAAAUUAAUUUGCAAAAUGUGAGAGAUGUUUUGAAAUUUUUUUUUAUUGGAUUUGGCUUUGAAUUAUCUAUGGGUUUGUGUUGGGAAAUUAGGAAACUUGGGUAUCUAGAGAAUUUUGGGUUUGGGUUUGGGUUUGGCUUGUGUAUGAGUAAUCAUGUGGCUUGCUGAAGAUUUGACAUUCAUUCAAGUUGAAGUGGAAGAAUUUUAUGCAUGACUUGUUUAUUUUUCAAAAAAGUGGUCUUCUGCUAUCUAAAGUAAUUAAGUUCGUGUCUUCCUUUCAAGCAUUCAUUGCGAGCGUGCUAUGUUAUGUAACCAUGGACGGUGAAUGGAGAAAGUGAGAAGCAUUUGUUCAAGGCUAAGAAGCAAGAGUUUGGCGUGGCUGAUUAACAAGCAGAAGAUCCGUGGGUGGGGCCCUGGACCAGGUUCAUCCAAGUUUUUGCCAUAUAUAAUAAUACACUUAUGGUUAGGGGUGGCAAUUUUCGACACGACCUGAAAACAUGACAUGAAUCUAACACGAAAUUAAUGGGUUUGGAUUGAAAUUUCGUGGGUUCGGGUCAGAAUCGAGUUGAACCUGAAAAGAAAACGGGUCGAAUUCGGGUCAAUCCGUGGGUAAUCCAAUAUGACCCAAUAAUCUGUUUACGAAUUAAAAAUAAUUUAAUAAACAAAAAAAUUAUUUUAUCUAACUAAACUAAGUUAUUCUUUUUUUCCAAAGGUAUUAAUCACUUAAUCCUAAAUGAAUUUAUUUGACUUGUGUGAAGUUGAAAUUAUUAUAUUUGGACAAAUAAUGUAUUAUAUUAUUUUUUACUUUUAUACUGUUUUAAUUUAUUUUAUAUUUGGUUUGGGAUAAAACACUUUUACGAUGUUUUAAUUUAUUUUAGAUUUGGUUUGAAAUUAUUUAUUUAAAAUUUUAUUACUUGAUUAUGUAAUUAAUCUUGUACGAAAUUGGUUUUAUUAGAAAUUACAGUGGUAAAUUAAUAAAUUAAAUUAAGUUUCGGGUCAUUUCGGAUCGAUCCACUAACCCGAAAAUUUUGGAUUUGGGUUUGGUAUCCUGACCCAUUUCGAGUUGGCAAGUCAGGUUUGAAUCAGCGAGUUUUCUGUUAUUCUCGGAUCUCAACCUGACCUGUCAACCCAAUUUAGACCCGAUUGCUACCCCUAUUUAUGGCGCUUGCAAAAACCACUUGCCCGACAAAUUUGAAACUUUGAACUUUCUCUGCCCUUCUGCCCAUUUGGCGUUUCUUAUAAUCCAAGACAGUUUUUUGGAGCCCCCUUUUUAAGUUCGUUUGGAGCCAUUGAAUCUAGUAGAUUGAAUCAUUUCUGUCUGCUAGUCCCAUUUGGCCUUUCUCAGUUAAGUUGAUGUGACUAUCAGUUCAGGUUUUCAUCAUCUUUAUGCUCAAGCAAAUGGGAUUUUGGUCAAGUGUGAACUUCAUGAAUUUAUGCACACAAGUGUCUCGUUCUGUAGUAACCGACAAAUUUGAUAUCAUUGGACAUCUCAUAGUAUGGAUAAGUACUUAGGCUAUUAUUAAAUAAUUAGUGAGGAUUAAUUUUACUUUUCGCUUCCUAACUUGUGAUCUCAUUUUCACUUUGUAUGUUAAAUCCUCAUUUAGAUACAUUACAUUCUAAGUCUUCAAAUUUAUCAUAUUUUAUUCAAUUGUUGACAAUGUUAAGAAAAUUAAUGAAACUUUUGUAUGUGCAGACGACACACAUAUUAAUCAGCCUGUCAAAUUCAACUUGUUAUCCCUUACUGAUCUCACAAUUGUUCAAAGUUGUGUCAAAAGAUAUUAGAACUUUUGCCCACAAAAUCUUAACGAAGGGUCAACUGAGAUUCCCCCUCCUUUUCGGUCAACAAGUAAGUGAAAGUUGAUGUGUACAGUUAUAGUCUCAUAGAGAAAAUCAGAAAACAUGAGUUCCUUUAAGCAUCACAUUUUGUAUCUGAAUUGAACAUUCAAAUGAUAAUUUCUGGUUCUUACAGAAUUACUGUUACCUUUUCUGCAAUAACAUAAGCAUCUGUUUAAACUAUGUGUGAAAAAAAAUUAUGCUUUACGUUCAUGGUAACGCGUUAGACAUCAAUAUGCAAGCAGCAUAAAUACAAUGAAGAAAUAUCAAAUAGCCAAGAACAAACUUCGAAUAUAUAUCAAACACUUACAGUGAAAAAGAAGGAUCAGCUUCUUAUGAAAACAACAAUACAGAUAUACAAUACAUGAAUAAGCAAGGAUUCAUACACCACUUUUAUUUGUUCACAGUAAAUGGAGAAUAAAACACUCAAAGUUUGUAGGAAUGAUAAUACAACACAAGCAGAUACACACUAAUAAGCAAUUGUGUUCAGGUUUAACCCUACACAUUUUCCUCAGCACUAAUCCAAAGAAGAUCAAUUUGUGUCAUCCAGUGGCAUGCUUCACCUUUUCCCGGGGAGAGCUUGAGUAUCUUGAAUGCUGCAUGAUAUGAUGGCCAUGCAGAGGUAUCCAUAUGGCAUAUUGCUAAGAUUGUAUUGACUGGAACUUUUGUUUUAGGUUCAACUACAUCCACUGCAUAGAUUUC